rnacentral:rRNA from 1 species
CCUACGGGAGGCAGCAGUGGGGAAUAUUGGACAAUGGGGGCAACCCUGAUCCAGCGACGCCGCGUGAGUGAAGAAGUAUUUCGGUAUGUAAAGCUCUAUCAGCAGGGAAGAAAGAAAUGACGGUACCUGACUAAGAAGCCUCGGCUAACUACGGGCCAGCAGCCGCGGUCAGUCGUAGGGGGCAAGCUUUAUCCGGAUUUACUGGGUGUAAAGGGAGCGUAGACGGCGAUGCAAGUCUGAAGUGAAAGGCGGGGGCCCAACCCCUGGACUGCUUUGGAAACUGUAGGGCUGGAGUGCAGGAGGGGUAAGUGGAAUUCAUAGUGUAGCGGUGAAAUGCGUAGAUAUUAGGAGGAACACCGGUGGCGAAGGCGGCUGACUGGACUGUAACUGACGUUGAGGCUCGAAAGCGUGGGGAGCAAACAGGAUUAGAUACCCCAGUAGUC